UACGUAGGGUGCGAGCGUUGUCCGGAAUUAUUGGGCGUAAAGGGCUCGUAGGCGGUUUGUCACGUCGGGAGUGAAAACUCAGGGCUCAACCCUGAGCCUGCUUCCGAUACGGGCAGACUAGAGGUAUGCAGGGGAGAACGGAAUUCCUGGUGUAGCGGUGAAAUGCGCAGAUAUCAGGAGGAACACCGGUGGCGAAGGCGGUUCUCUGGGCAUGAUCUGACGCUGAGGAGCGAAAGUGUGGGGAGCGAACAGG
rnacentral:rRNA from 1 species